rnacentral:lncRNA from 1 species
UAUUAGACUAUAGAAUCGGAAUGUAAUUCAUUGAUUUCGAUAGUUGCCAUUUGUUUUAUAGGAAUCGGAUUCCGAUUCACAUUUCACUCCGGAAUGGGAAUGGCCAAAUCCAUUUACGAUCCAAUCCGGUUUUGAAUUUCAGAUUGGCUCAUUCCAAAGUAAAUUAUUCAAAAUCCUCUUUCAUCAACACCUACCUCCUCUCCCUUCAUCACUUUCCUCUCUCUUAAUCAAAACCCUCUCUCAAAAAUUUUAAAUUUUUAUUUCGACUUCCAUUCCAACAAUGAACCAAACAUUUUGGAUGAUUCAUCAUUCUAUUUUCCAUUCCAAAGCAAUCCAAUUUCAUUUUCUAUUCAUAUUCCAAUCAUAAACCAAACAGGUCCAUUAUUUAGUCGUGUUAUGAUAUUGUAUGAAAUAAUCAUAUGUAAUUCUUUAAAACUUAAGCUGCUG